UCGANGGCAGCACGGAGCUUGCUCUGGUGGCGAGUGGCGAACGGGUGAGUAAUGCGUCGGAACGUAUCCAAUAAUGGGGGAUAACGCAGCGAAAGCUGUGCUAAUACCGCAUACGCCCUCCGGGGGAAAGCAGGGGAUCUUAGGACCUUGCGUUAAUGGAGCGGCCGACGUCUGAUUAGCUAGUUGGUAGGGUAAAGGCCUACCAAGGCGACGAUCAGUAGCUGGUCUGAGAGGAUGAUCAGCCACACUGGGACUGAGACACGGCCCAGACUCCUACGGGAGGCAGCAGUGGGGAAUUUUGGACAAUGGGCGCAAGCCUGAUCCAGCCAUUCCGCGUGAGUGAAGAAGGCCUUCGGGUUGUAAAGCUCUUUCAGGAGGGAAGAAACGAUUGUGGCUAAUACCCAUGAUUAAUGACGGUACCUUCAGCAGAAGCACCGGCUAACUACGUGCCAGCAGCCGCGGUAAUACGUAGGGUGCGAGCGUUAAUCGGAAUUACUGGGCGUAAAGCGUGCGCAGGCGGUUUUUCAAGUCUGAUGUGAAAUCCCCGGGCUUAACCUGGGAACUGCGUUGGAAACUGAAAGACUAGAGUGCGGCAGANGGGGGUAGAAUUCCACGUGUAGCAGUGAAAUGCGUAGAUAUGUGGAGGAAUACCGAUGGCGAAGGCAGCCCCCUGGGUCGACACUGACGCUCAUGCACGAAAGCGUGGGUAGCAAACAGGAUUANAUACCCUGGNAGUCCACGCCCUAAACGAUGUCAACUAGUUGUUGGGGAGGGAGACCUCCUUAGUAACGCAGCUAACGCGUGAAGUUGACCGCCUGGGGAGUACGGUCGCAAGAUUAAAACUCACAGGAAUUGACGGGGGCCCGCACAGCGGUGGAUU
rnacentral:rRNA from 1 species